GCAGACUCACUCUGCACCCGGCCGUGGCCCCGGGCGGGUGCUUUUUCCGUCUGCCAUAGGAAUGUCCAGGGUGCUGUGACCACUUUGACCUGUCAAGGGCAAUGCAGCCACCCUGGUACAUGGGU
ensembl:snoRNA